UACGUAGGGUGCAAGCGUUAAUCGGAAUUACUGGGCGUAAAGCGUGCGCAGGCGGUUAUGCAAGACAGAGGUGAAAUCCCCGGGCUCAACCUGGGAACUGCCUUUGUGACUGCAUGACUAGAGUACGGUAGAGGGGGAUGGAAUUUCGCGUGUAGCAGUGAAAUGCGUAGAUAUGCGGAGGAACACCGAUGGCGAAGGCAAUCCCCUGGACCUGUACUGACGCUCAUGCACGAAAGCGUGGGGAGCAAACAGG
rnacentral:rRNA from 1 species